rnacentral:rRNA from 1 species
CUACGGGGGGCUGCAGUGAGGAAUAUUGGACAAUGGGCGAAAGCCUGAUCCAGCGACGCCGCGUGGGUGAAGAAGGCCUUCGGGUUGUAAAGCCCUGUCAGAGGGGACGAAGUUCUGACGGUACCCUCAGAGGAAGCACAGGCUAACUCCGUGCCAGCAGCCGCGGUAAUACGGAGUGUGCGAGCGUUGCUCGGAAUCACUGGGCGUAAAGGGCACGUAGGCGGCCUCGUGUGUUGGGUGUGAAAGCCCACGGCUCAACCGUGGAACUGCACUCAAAACUGCGAGGCUAGAGUACGGAAGAGGAAGGCGGAAUUCCCAGUGUAGGGGUGAAAUCCGUAGAUAUUGGGAAGAACACCAGUGGCGAAGGCGGCCUUCUGGGACGAUACUGACGCUGAUGUGCGAAAGCGUGGGGAACAAACAGGAUUAGAUACCCUCGUAGUC